UACGUAGGGGGCAAGCGUUGUCCGGAUUUAUUGGGCGUAAAGAGCGCGCAGGCGGUCGGAUAAGUCGAAUGUGAAAGCCCCCGGCUCAACUGGGGAGGGUCAUUCGAUACUGUUCGACUCGAAGGCAGGAGAGGGAAGUGGAAUUCCCGGUGUAGUGGUGAAAUGCGUAGAUAUCGGGAGGAACACCAGUGGCGAAGGCGACUUCCUGGCCUGUUCUUGACGCUGAGGCGCGAAAGCUAGGGGGGCAAACGGG
rnacentral:rRNA from 1 species